AUCUGAUGUCACACUGCCAAGAAAAGCUUCUAGUGAGAAGUAGGCUGCCCGUACCGCAAACCGACACAGGUAGUCGAGGAGAGAAUCCUAAGGUGAUCGAGAGAACUCUCGUUAAGGAACUCGGCAAAAUGACCCCGUAACUUCGGGAGAAGGGUGCUGAUCAAUUGAUCAGCCGCAGUGAAUAGGCCCAAGCGACUGUUUAGCAAAACACAGGUCUCUGCAAAACCGUAAGGUGACGUAUAGGGGCUGACGCCUGCCCGGUGCUGGAAGGUUAAGGGAGUGCUUAGCGCAAGCGAAGGUGCGAACUGAAGCCCCAGUAAACGGCGGCCGUAACUAUAACGGUCCUAAGGUAGCGAAAUUCCUUGUCGGGUAAGUUCCGACCCGCACGAAAGGCGUAACGAUCUGGGAGCUGUCUCGGAGAGAGACUCGGCGAAAAUAGAAUUGUCUGUGAAAGAUAUGGACUACCU
rnacentral:rRNA from 1 species